rnacentral:rRNA from 1 species
AGCUCCAAUAGCGUAUAUUAAAGUUGUUGCAGUUAAAAAGCUCGUAGUUGAACCUUAGGCCCGUGCGGGCGGUCCGUCCUCUGGGCGAGCACUGCCUCGUCGCGGGUCUCACCUUCUGGCGAGCGUGGAUGCCAUUCAUUUGGUGUCUGCGGGAACCAGGACCUUUACCUUGAAAAAAUUAGAGUGCUCAAAGCGGGCUCUUACGCUUGAAUACAUUAGCAUGGAAUAAUGAAAUAGGACGACGGUUCUAUUUUGUUGGUUUCCGGGAUUGUCGUAAUGAUUAAUAGGGAUAGUUGGGGGCAUUCGUAUUCAAUUGUCAGAGGUGAAAUUCUUGGAUUUAUUGAAGACGGACUACUGCGAAAGCAUUUGCCAAGGAUGUUUUCA